UCCCCUCCCCGCCGCUGGAUUGCUUUCCUGCCCUUCCCACCUGCUCCUUCCACCCGGCAGCUUUUUUGGAGCUGGAGAGCGGCCUUGAGGGGGGCAGCGGGGGUGGAACAUGAGUCGAAGGAGAAAUCAAUCCCGUCCUUGCCGGGGCUGAAAUCUUGGAAACACUGCGCUCCCAUCCAGCGGCUCUCGAAGAACUGGGGCUGAGCAUGGCACCAGCUAUUUCUGGCCGCUGGCAGCUAUUCCUAGCCCUGACCUGAAGCUCGGUCCUUUCCCUCUCCUUCCCUGCGCACGAGGGUGAGCUGAGCUCGGUGUGCGGAGGGGGCAGGCAGGCAGCGAGCUAUAAAUAAUGGCACUCGUGGGCGGCUGCUGGGGAAGGCACCGAGCAGAAAGCAUCCUGGCCCCAUGGGCAGCUGGCACCCCCUGCCCUGUCCCCUCCCCAGGGCAAGCAGGAAGCCGCAGAGCCAGCAUCAUGCUUUUUUUGUAGGGCGAGGGGAGGGAUGGGUCCGAGUAUGCAGCCACCUCACACUUGUUCUCCCUUCUUCAUCCACCUCCUGCACACGGGGCGAGCUCCCUGGGUUUGCCAGCUACAUCUACCGAUGGAUGGGGCAGAGGCAGCUCUGUGCCUCGCGGCUUGAAGCUUCCUGAGCAAAUUUUUCCUGCUCUCCCUCCCGCUUUGCGUUUCCACGCCCUCACUUUCUGUCCCACUGCCUUUCCACCGUUCCUGUGCUCUCGCCUUCCCUCCCCACCUCCCCCAGUUCCCCCCUGUGCUUUUCACCUCUCCUUCGCUCUCUCCAUCACUCCCCCGCACCCUCACCCACUCUCCUGCCUGCUCCCACUAUUUUUAUCCUCCUCCUACCCCAUCUCCUCUCUCUCCUUUCUCCUCCCCGUGUCCCCCCCAGGCCCCUCUCUGCAGCCGGGUACCGCUUUGCUCUGCAAACACCGGCUGCCUUGUUUUUCUUGCGUCGCGGUAAAUGUUUCCGCAGCGCUGUGGAGAUCUCUGGAGCCGCUGAACAAAGGGACCUUUCAUUUUAACAGCGGGAUGGAGGGCGACCGUGCCGCUGGCCCGAGAGGUCGGCAGUCAGGGGGCUCCCGUGGCCGCAUCCAGCCCCCAGGUCGGGGAGCGGGGCAGAAGCCCCUGGGGAGGACGGCGCUUCUGGAGCUGCUCGGGGUUUAGAUUGUUCCCCCUCCCGCCUCUCCUGCUGCAAACCCGAUGUAAUCGUAGCAGGAAAUUAAACAUUUGAAGCGUUAACGUGAUAAUCUGCUGGUUUAGGCUUGGCGGGGCUGGGAGCUGAGCGUGUUUCUGCUGCCCAGGUGCCAGGAGGGAGGGGGACACAAUGAUGACAGGCUCCCCCCUGGCAUUCCCACCCUCUGGAGAAACCUCAGGGAGUGCUCUCCAUCACCUUUCUCCCCUCAGCCCGUCUUCAGGCUCCUGGUGUUAGGAUGGUGGGGCUUUUCCUUUGGCCCUGAUAGCCGUAUCUCAUUGCUUGUGCUGGUGGGACCAGGACCAGCAAUUAAACCCAUUGCUCGGGAUGAAUUUCUUGGUGCUCUUGCUGAUGCUGGACCAACCAGCUCAGAACCUGUCCACACCCCACAUCCCUAAGGCUGUGGUUUGGGAGCACUGAGGCUGGAAAGGAAACAAAUAAAAAAUGCCAUAAGCUUUCAGAGAUGCAAAGAACUCCCUGAAAAAUCCUCCCUCGUGUCACUGGGGCAAUGAACCCCGGGUGUAACACCAUGAAGAAGGUUCAAGCUGCACCGUUCCACCAGGAGCAUCGUUCCUCGUAGGAGGGGUGACGCUGGGUGAGGAGGUGGGGGUCUCCAUCUCCAGAGGUGGUGAGGAGCAAGGCAGACCCCGUCAGGAUGGCUGUGCCAGGCAGGAUGCAGAGUGCAUUGCUCUGGGUGGGUCGGGGAACCAGGAAGGCGAUGAAGAACGGGCGUCCUGUUGCCUUGUCUGAGCUCCUCAGUGGUCUGUAAAGAUGGCUGGCAUGAAUAUAUUAUGUUUUUUUAAUUCCUUUUUUAUGUCAGACUUGGAUUGUCUAAUAGACGCUUGCAUUGUAAUUUUUUACUUUAAUAGGAAUCAUUUGUAGAGAGAUCUGCUGAGCUCAGCAUCCCGGCUGGAGCUUUUGCAUUAUCGGGAGUUGCUGUCUUUGCAGAUGGAUGAGUUUCAAGGAUUUCUAAAUACACAGGCCUAUCUGUCUAAACAAAAGUUCAAACGCCGUGCAGUUCACUGGUUUGGAGCAAAUGUCAAACGGGCAGGGACUGGGCCACCGCUGCUAAACAAACCUCUGUCCUGUUUUCUUUUGCGCCAGCUGUGCCUGCAUGAUUUUCUUCCAGUGUUGUGUGGCUGUGAGACUGGGGUGACCAAAUGUCUUUGGAAGAACUGCUCAGCUCUGGGCAAGGCAGAGCCUGCCCAUCCUGGACGGGAGAAAUGGGGAAAGAGCUAGUGACCCUCCCUAAGGAGCAUUUGUCCUCUCCCAUGGCUGUGGAUGCUCGUCUUGUGCUUUCCCAGAUAAUGCCCCAAAUGGAGCAUCCAAAGCCACUGGCUGUAGAAGCAGGGAAAGCUCUUGGUUCAUCGUGACUUUUAACUGCACCAAUUCUGAUAAAACACAGCUGUCUGCAGACAGACAUGCCACCAGGAGAUGCUUUGGGCUGGCGGUUGGCUUUGUCCUGACCCACGCCUUGCCCCCAUUCCCACAUCUCCAAGGCCAGGCGGAGGGGACCGCGCUUUCCCCAGUCAUGCCUGGGAUACAAGUGACUUUUGGUUUAAAACAGGCAAGGCUGGGGGCCAGGUCGCAUCCUGCACUGCUUCCCUCCCUGGUCCUGGCCCCCGUCGGGCAGGCUUUGUGGGAUGGAGAUAGCCUGGCGAUGGAGACAGCCUGGCGUGGGAGACAGGAGACCUUUUUCCCUGACACCUGCAUAUGGUGCGACUUCGGCGCGGCCUCUCGCAUCCGGUGUUUUUUGUGUGUUUUCCGAGGCGCUUUGCAUCAGCUCCUUGGCCAGUGCUGGGAGGACUGGAUUGGAAAGGAAAGGGAUUUUCAUACUUCAUCUUUUUCUCGCCGGGGCCUGAAACGUGAGCGCCUCCAAGGCGUUGCCGAAUGAGGUGGUAAUGUGUUCAUCAGCUGGGAAAUCACCGGGCCUUGGAGAAACGGGAAGGGGAGAGAUGGAGAGACGUGCAAGGGCUUCAGGCUGCAGCGGGAGGAUGCGGGGAGCAUGGUGUUGAGGAGCAUCCCGCUGGCACCAGGGGUGCAGCCCUGCGCUCGGCGGGGCGCCCUGCCUCAGCUUCCCCACCCCAAGCUGCGGCUGCCCUGCGAGGCCUUAAAGAUGCACUGGAAGCCACGCUCCCCACCCAGGGCUGAGGGAGGCAUGGGAAGAGAGAGAACGCAAGUCAAUAACCACCUAGAUACAGCUCAGAGGUGUAGCAAGGAGCCUGCCUGCUGCAGGGCAUGGGUUGACCCUUGGCUGUGCCCAGCUGGGAGCGUUCUCCUGCGGGGAGCGGGUUGUUUUCUUCUGUCUGGACAUGGCUUUGGUCCUGCAAGACCUCGUGCUGGCCACGGCGGUGGCAUUUCCCUUCCUUUUGCUGCUCUGUUCCUCAGCAUGUGUCGGUGCCACCGUGAGCCAUCAGGUCACCUGAGAUACCUUCAGGGCGUUUUGGUCAUGCUCUUGCCUUGGGUCUGUGCGAUGCUCGAGGCAGCACAGCCCACAUGUGUAAAUAAAUCAGCCCCAAGUGCCUUUCCUUCUCAGUGUUGUGGACUCUUCUACCCUCAUGAUAUUUGAGGAAGUAUUUCCCUUUGCACUGAAGAUGAAUGUUGCAGCCUGCAGGUCAAUGGCUCAGUUCUCCCCGAAGGUGAAUUCUGGAGGAGCUGAGCUGGGAUCUUCACAGUGGAAGCAGCUUGCAGCUGAAAUGUCUUUAAACUUUGUGUUAUUUGGGAAGGGAAGCAAGGGAAGAGUGAUCACAACCAACUUCACCAUUUUACUACAAAUUGCCCAAACUGAAAUAAAUGUAAUUUUAAAGAGC